rnacentral:rRNA from 1 species
UACGGGGGGGGCAAGCGUUGUUCGGAAUUACUGGGCGUAAAGGGCUCGUAGGCGGCCAACUAAGUCAGACGUGAAAUCCCUCGGCUUAACCGGGGAACUGCGUCUGAUACUGGAUGGCUUGAGUUUGGGAGAGGGAUGCGGAAUUCCAGGUGUAGCGGUGAAAUGCGUAGAUAUCUGGAGGAACACCGGUGGCGAAGGCGGCAUCCUGGACCAAUACUGACGCUGAGGCGCGAAAGCUAGGGGAGCAAACGGG